rnacentral:rRNA from 1 species
AACGUAGGACACAAGCGUUAUCCGGAGUUACUGGGCGUAAAGGGCGUGUAGGCGGAUCAAUAAGUCUAUUCUGAAAGCUCCUGGCUAAACUGGGAGAGGCGAAUGGAGACUGUUGGUCUAGAGUGAGGAAGAGGAAAGUGGAAUUCCGCGUGUAGUGGUGAAAUGCGUAGAGAUGCGGAGGAACACCAGUGGCGAAGGCGGCCUGCUGGGCCACGACCGACACUGAGGUGCGAAAGCGUGGGGAGCGAACCGG